GCAUGUAUGUAUGUGUGUAUGUAUGUGUGUAUGUGUGUGUGUAUGGGAGGGGCACAUGUUUUCAUUGGUUGCUCAUUGUUUGAAAUCCAAACAUCUUCACAGCACCGAGGAUGUUGUGGCUAUGCUCCAGUCUUUACAAACGGAUCAAGUGAUUGUCUUGGCAGUGGAAUUAUAACAAAACAGAUAUUCUCUGAUAUAGUAAUACGAUAACAACACAAA